rnacentral:rRNA from 1 species
AGAGUUUGAUCCUGGCUCAGGAUGAACGCUAGCGAUAGGCUUAACACAUGCAAGUCGAGGGGCAGCAUUAUUUUAGCUUGCUAAGAUAGAUGGCGACCGGCGCACGGGUGCGUAACGCGUAUGCAACCUGCCUGUAAUUAGGGAAUAACCCGGUGAAAGUCGGACUAAUACCCUAUAUUCUUCUUUCUCCGCAUGGAGAAGGAUGGAAAGAUUUAUUGAUUACAGAUGGGCAUGCGUCCCAUUAGCUGGUUGGUAAGGUAACGGCUUACCAAGGCAACGAUGGGUAGGGGGACUGAGAGGUUGACCCCCCACACUGGUACUGAGACACGGACCAGACUCCUACGGGAGGCAGCAGUGAGGAAUAUUGGUCAAUGGGCGAGAGCCUGAACCAGCCAAGUCGCGUGAAGGACGACGGUUCUAUGGAUUGUAAACUUCUUUUGUAGAGGAAUAAUGGCAGCUACGUGUAGCUGAGAUGCAUGUACUCUACGAAUAAGUAUCGGCUAACUCCGUGCCAGCAGCCGCGGUAAUACGGAGGAUACGAGCGUUAUCCGGAAUUAUUGGGUUUAAAGGGUGCGUAGGUGGCGUAUUAAGUCAGUGGUGAAAAGCUGCAGCUCAACUGUAGUCUUGCCGUUGAAACUGAUAUGCUAGAGAGGAGACGAGGUAUGCGGAAUGUGUGGUGUAGCGGUGAAAUGCAUAGAUAUCACACAGAACGCCGAUUGCGAAGGCAGCGUACCAGGCUCCGUCUGACACUGAAGCACGAAAGCGUGGGGAUCAAACAGGAUUAGAUACCCUGGUAGUCCACGCAGUAAACGAUGAAUACUAGAUUUUUGCGAUAUAGUGUAAGAGUCUAAGCGAAAGCGAUAAGUAUUCCACCUGGGGAGUACGCCGGCAACGGUGAAACUCAAAGGAAUUGACGGGGGCCC